UACGUAGGGCGCAAGCGUUGUCCGGAAUUAUUGGGCGUAAAGAGCUCGUAGGCGGUUUGUCGCGUCUGCUGUGAAAACCUAAGGCUCAACCUUGGGCUUGCAGUGGGUACGGGCAGACUAGAGUGUGGUAGGGGAGACUGGAAUUCCCGGUGUAGCGGUGAAAUGCGCAGAUAUCAGGAGGAACACCGAUGGCGAAGGCAGGUCUCUGGGCCACUACUGACGCUGAGAAGCGAAAGCGUGGGGAGCGAACAGG
rnacentral:rRNA from 1 species